UUUGCAAGGACACAGUGGGUGUGCCGAGACCAGCUCCAUACUGGGAUGACAAGGAGGGUUUGGCUUCCAAAACAACUGCUGCCAUUGAGGACUGCUGGAGAAGUGCUGUGGUCUUCUCAAGGCUGAGGACAGGAUGGUGCUGGUGAGGUGCUGGAAGAGGAGCUUGAAGAAAGUCCUCCUCCAGGAACACCAUGGGAUGAGCAAAUGUAUGCGAAGGGGAGCAUCGUCUGCCAUCUCCUUGGCUUUGCCACAAGACCCUGCCCUUGACCACGUUUCACUUGUUCAUUGGCAUGAGACGGGAUGGAGGCUGCUGUCAGGUGGUACCAAGGGGCUUGUGUAACGUGCAAAGGCUUGGGAGGAGUCCCUACGUCCUGUAGCCCCCUGCGCUCCUAUCCGGACACUUUAAUGAGGUAUUUAAUUCUUUAAUGAAGUAUUU
rnacentral:lncRNA from 14 species